GGAACAAAAAAUUUCAAAAAUUAUGACUCAUAAGCUGUGAACCGCGGGUACCACGUUGAACCACCCAUCGGCUUGCCCCUCGUAUGACAGAACGACAUGGCAGCGCUGGUUUUUUCGAUUUCGUUUUGUGCUGAUUUACGCGCGCAUCUUGUUUGUUUUUGUUUUUCUUAGCAAUCAAGGCAGCAGGCUGCAAACAAGUCAAUCAGCUGUGCAGGGAUUUUUGUUUGGCGAAACAAGCGAAAUUUACUGGUGUUUGGUUUGUAAGAUGAUUGCUGUUUUCUCAUCAUUCCUCGCAAGCCAAAUCUGUUCAAUACGAACGGCUCGAUCGUCCGCGACCUCGCCGCCGGAUGAUUGAAUCACCUCGAACCUAGUCAACUCGAUGGUAACGAUUGCCUUCCGGAGUUUUGGGCCCGAAAGAGCGUGUUAGGCAUUUCGACGCUGCACAUUAUCCGUGCCAACAAGUUCAUCGGUGAGGGUGUCGACUUCGGCGGGCCAACAUUUUGGUCAUCGGAGGCCACUCCGGCAAGACCAUUAUCCCAGUGAACCCCAGAGCUUCCCCAGGACAAGAUUGCCGCCCUGACGGCACGCAUUCAAGAGGUCCUCAAGGCCAAGGCCGGUGCCGGAUCGGCUACGUUCACGACGGCCUACGCCGCAGCCCGUUUUGCCCUCGCCGAACCUUGGUCUGCCCAAGGUGAACGCCUACGAGCUAGAGCUGCUAAAGAAGGACAUUCCGGAGCUGAAACAAACAUCCGGAAGGGCAAGGAGUUUGUCAAGAAGAACUUUGUGAACAAAAAAAGUGAAUUUCGAUCAUGUUGAAAAAAA